UAUAUGUAUAAUUGAAAUAAAUGUAUAUGAUCACUCAACAAAAAUACACCGAGUAACAUGGAACGGUGUAAAAGAAGUAGAUUACACCGGGUUAUGAUUACACGGAUGGAAAAUUUACACCGAGAGAAGUUUUACACCGAUAUUUUACACUACACGACCGUGUAAAGUCCUCCGGGUCUAAUUUUUACACCGUAAUAUUUUACAGUGUAUGGUCACUGGUCUGACAAUUAGUCAGGUGUAAUCACAUUCGAUUACAUAUAUAUACCUUUUUUUUAAUUUAAUACUUUGAAUCAAAAAAAUUUUUAUUUAUUAAUAAAAUUAAAUAAAGUAAUGAUAUAUAGAACUCUAUUAUUGCUCUGAUUGAAAGGAAUAAAUUUAUUAAAUUUAUUUUUUCCCGCUACUAUAUUCAAGCACCUUCGCGUGCACCCAAAAAAUUAUACAGACCUGAUGUUUACAUCUGUCAAAAUAAAAAGUUACUAAAUGGCGAAUAUUGUGUUGAAAUUUAUUAAAGAAACUACGCUCGACUGGGUAUUUAUAAUUACUUUUUGCAGCUCUAGUACUUUUUUUAGAGCGGCUGGCGGCCACCAGGCGGCGCCACAUUUUUUGGAAAAAAGUGGGGGGCACCCUCGAAGCAUGGCCUUAAAUAAUUUUAAUUUAAUUUUAAAGUUUUGCAGCUCUAGUACUUUUUUUAGAGCGGCUGGCGGCCACCAGGCGGCGCCACAUUUUUUGGAAAAAAGUGGGGGGCACCCUCGAAGCAUGGCCUUAAUCAAAGGGAAAAUUAUACAUUUUUAUGGUUUAUUCAAUUGUUAAUUCUACACAUUUUAUGGGAUUUUUUUUUUUUAAAUUAAGUUAAAAGCCAUCGUGUUCGCGGUUAAUAACAAAUCGUUAACUCUUAGGAAGGAGUAGUUGCGUGUUGGGAUUUACCGGAGAGUAUCGAUUUCGGUGCAUUGACCCACCGGAUUGAAAUAAGAGAAUGAAAUACAAUAUACGAUGCAGAAACGAUUUAAAAUUAUUUAUUUAAGUUUUACUUUUAUUUAUAAUUAUUAUUAAUAUGUCAUAUUAUUUAAAUUUUUAAAUAAUCCCUUUGUCGGUCGCAGGCCUGCGUUAACCAAAUGCAUAUUAGCGUAACUUAAUCAGUAAAUAAUUGUAUAUUAAUUAAAUAAUUAGUUAAUUAAUUAAUUAAUCGAUUAAUCAAAUAAUAAAUUAUAUUAUUUAUUAAUUAAUUAAUUGGUUACAUUGAAUUUCUAUUCCAGACUAUUUAUUCUAAGGGAUGAUUCAAAAAAAAAAUGGUGGAUUUGACACUCGAAUUUGUGAUAGAUUAGUAUUGCGAUACUUUUGUUGUUGAGUUUAAAAAUUAAUUGUUAAUCAUUUUUUUUCUUCAUUAAGAUUUAAUUGAUUUAUUGGUACGGAAAUUUUCUUAUUUUUAAUGACAAAUAUUUUUUUUAACAUUAAUAAGUUUGUUGUAUUUUUAAAAAUUGUUUAAAAUUAAGUUUAAAGUUACUGAGUUUUCUUUGUUACUUCACAAUUCAAAUGUUGUCUUGGACUUUAACUCCCGGUUUAAAGGUCAAUUUUUUUUUCUAAAUGUAUAGAAAAUUUUGUUGUGUAAAAAAAUUUAUGUACUUUUUUGUUCCUGUAUCUUGCAUAAUUUUCACGGUAUUUUAAUUCAAUGAACGCGUCACAGAGAUAAAUUCUUUAAAGAAAUUUUACUCGCGAACUUUUUUCUCGUAUAUUUUAUCUUGGAUAAUUUUUUUUUCAUCGCUUAAAGUUUAACUUUUGUUUUACGCACGACCAACUAUUUGCUUGUUUAAAAAGUAUUCUUUUAAAUUAUUUUAUUAAACUUAAAUAUUUUAAAAAGUAUGUAAGAUAAACAUAAUUAAUUUAUUAAAUAAAUAUUAAUCAUUAAUUUCGUUUAUUUAAAUGUAAAUAAAAUUAAUAGUUUUGUUAAUUAUUUACUUUAUUAAAAAUGGGAUCAAAUUUAAUAAUUUAUACAGAAUAAUUAAAUUUUAAAUAUUCUUUCUACUGAAAGAAAGUGAUUUAAUCAAAUCCAUAUAGAUUUUAUAUUUCUCUUUAUCAUUGAUCAUUGAUAUAGUUUUUUUUUUCAAAUUAAUCCAGGGAAUUAAUAACAAUAAUAAUUAAUAAAAAUUAAAAUAGUAGUAAUUUAUGCCCUGAUGUAUAGAUUUAUUAUCUAUGCAGGUGCUAAUUGACUUGUACAUUUUUUUUUUAUUCAAAUUUUUGUUUUCUUUUUUUAGUCUACUGUAAAAAAUUUUCGGAGUGAAUGCGAAGCGGAUGACUGCGUAUUUAAUUCCAGAGUGAAAUUUACUCCGAAAGGGAGUAGUUUAUUUUCAUAUUAAAACUGCGGUUCGCAGUGAAAUUAAAUUCUAAGGAGUUUAUUUUAAUAUUAAAACACUAAAGGGGAGUGAAUUCGGAUUUAAAAAAAAUUUAGAUCACUUUGAAAUCACCCCGCUGUAGAAAUAAACUCAGUAUUUACUCCGUAUUCGGAGUGAUUUUUUUUAAAACUCCAUAACUCCAAGUAAUGGAGUAAAUUUGAAUUUAUAUAAAAUCCAGAUCACUCCGAAAUCACUCCGUUAGAGAAAAAAACUCCGUAUUUACUCCGUAUUCGGAGUGAUUUGCUUAAAAACUCCAUAACUCCAAGUAAUGGAGUAAAUUUGGAGUAAGUUUGAAUUUAAAUCAAAACCAGAUCACUCCGUUAGAGAAAAAAACUCCGUAUUUACUCCGUACUCGGAGUGAUUUUCUUAAAAACUCCAAGUAAUGGAGUGAAUUUGGAGUAAAUUUGAAUUUAAAUAAAAUCCAGAUCUCCGAAAUCACUCCGUUAGAGAAAAAAACUCCGUAUUUACUCCGCCCUGAUUAAAAAUACUCAGAAAAGUAUUGAAAAAGAUGAGAAUUGAAUACUUUCAAAUAAAUCCUAUUCCACAAGGUUUCCAUCUAGACAUAAAAUAAAUACUUUUCAAUUAUAUUGAAUCUAAAAAUAAUAUAAGAAUUUCUAAACUUCUAAAGAAUUGAAAAAGAUUCGAAUAAAUUGACAGUUUUCAAUCUUUCUAAAUCUUCUUCAAUACCAAAAUAGUUUCAUAUUUUGAAUCGAGUGUAAGAUUGAAAAGAAUUGAUAAUUUUCAAUUUUUCUGAAUUUUUUUCAAUACUAAAAUAGUUCCAUAUUUCGAGUUAUGAUUUGAAUUGAAAUAAAUUAAAACGAAUUCACAUUUUCGAAUCUUUCUUAAUGUUUUUCUAAAAUGAUGAAAGAUUGAAUUCUUUUUAAUUCCAUUAUAAGAAUUAGAAAGUGUUCAAAUUAUCGAAAUUUCAAUUCCAUUUAAUAUUUUUCAAAAUCUCCGUAUGGAUUGAAAAGAAUGAAAAUAAUUUUCACUACUUUUCAAUGAGUAUUUUUAAUCAGGGCGUAUUUGACGUGAUUUUUUU